GACAGAGGCCUCAAGCGUUAGGCGGAAUCACUGGGCUUAAAGCGUGUGUAGGCGGGUCGUUAAGUACCUUGUGAAAUCCCACGGCUCACCCGUGGAACUGCUGGGUAUACUGGCGAUCUUGGGCCAACUAGGGGCAACUGGAACAAGCGGUGGAGCGGUGAAAUGCGUAGAUAUAGGGAAGAACACCAAUCAGGCGAAGGCAGUUAACUAUUCUAUUCCUGACAUUGAGGCAUGAAAGCGUGGGGAGCAAAACGG
rnacentral:rRNA from 1 species